CUGAAGAAUGGCUCUUUGACCCGCCUGUUGAUCAGGAUCUUUGACCUCCCUGCUGAUCAUGAGACCUCGUCCUGCCAUCCUCUCCCCGAGGAGCCACAGGAAACAAGCUCUUGUGACACAGUGGUCUGUGCAGCCAUGGAGAGGCCCAUUACUGCAGUCACAUGGCAGGUUAGCGCAGGGACUGAUGCGACCAUGUGAGCUCUAUUUUCUAAAUAGCUACAGCUGCCCUGGGGCUCAUGAGAGUUUCACACAGGACAUAUAAAAUGCCAGAAAGUGCAUGAGGGGUUUAGAUUUCAGAUAAAAUUUGUCUCUUUCUCAUUUGUUUUGUUUUGUUUGUUUGUUUGUCUUUUUGUUUGUUUUUUUAUCUGUGCAAAAAUGAGUCAGCUCUAAAGAGAUGAAGGUGAUCUUUGGUUUUAGCAGCAGGUGUAAUAGGCGAGGUCUUGACAUUAGAUGUUUACAAAGCCCCACGUGACUUUUAAACCUUUGCUUUUUAAGAAUCUUUUAAGUUUUUGAUUAUUUUUUAAAAGGGGACUUUUAACGCACAUCCAAAUAUCAUGGUUGCACGUAGGGAAACAUAAGCUUCAGUAUAAGGAAGAAGAGGAAGAGGAAGAAAAGUGAAAGUCGUAAAUGCUAUAAAAUACUGUCCCUUUAUAUGACAGUGAAUCACGGCUGGCACUGCAGACUGCCCCCAAUAAAUUAAAGGAGCUCUACUUCGUUUUAACUGAAUUCAAUCACAUCUAAGAUACAAAUAGAAUCCAUGCGAUGAGUAAUUGUUUUUUAAUAUGUGUAAAGUCAUUUCAAAAUCAUUGAGUUUAUCUAAAUAAAUUGUCGGUCUAUUUUUCUUCCGCUACAUAUCAAAAGACUUUUAAAAAAAGAAAGACUUUAUCCAAGUGAACAUCCACAAAGUUUAAUCCAAAUGGGCGUGGGAGUGGGUUUCAGCUGCUCUGUGGGGCCUGUUAACGCUUUUGAAUUUAGAACCGAUGAACAAAUUUGUACACAGCGCCAAAACUAAAAUACAGUCCGUUUCAUGCACAUAUUUAUUUAUUUAUUUAUUUAUUUUUAAAAGCCCAUUCCUUUGUAAAAUUGUGAUGAGUUUUCAGACCGAAUCACAGGGCUUCGUUAAACAUUUGACACUUGAU
ensembl:lncRNA